GACGAACGCUGGCGGCGUGCUUAACACAUGCAAGUCGAACGAACAGGCCCUGAUCUUGUUCGGUGCUCGUGUGGCGAACGGGUGAGUAACACGUGUGUAACCCGCCCUUGUCUUUGGGGUAAAUUUAGGAAAAAGGGGCUAUUAUCGGGUAGAAUCUAUUGAUCCACAGUGUGGAUUGGUAAGUUUCGGCGGUUGGGGCUGGACUGGCGGGUUAUCCGCUUGUUGGUGGGGUAGUGGCUUACCAAGGGUGUGAGGGGUAGCAGGCCUGGGAGGUGGACCGGGCACAUGGGGACUGAGGUAGGGCCCAGACGGCUACGUGAGGCAGCAGUGGGGAACAUUGCACAAUGGGCGGGAGCCAGAGGCGGCAACGCCGCGAUCGUGAAGACGUCCUUCUGGGGGAGAACCACUUUGUCCGGAGACGAAGCGUGAGUGACGGUAAUGGGUAAAGAAGCACCGGCUAACUACGUG
rnacentral:rRNA from 1 species